rnacentral:rRNA from 1 species
AACUUCUGGUUUGGCGCGCGCGGCCCGUUGCGGCAACGCAGUGUGUGCCGUUGUGCGCCUGCCAUCCUUCUGGCGUUUGGGUGUGCCCUUCACUGGGAUAGCAUCUGGGUGUCAAGAUCUUUUACUUUGAAAAAAUUAGAGUGUUUAAAGCAGGCUUGCGCAAUGAAUACAUUAGCAUGGAAUAAUAAUUUAGGACUUCUGUUCUAUUUUGUUGGUUUCUAUGAUGGAAGUAAUGAUUGAUAGGGAUAGUUGGGGGUGCUAGUAUUCAGCGGCCAGAGGUGAAAUUCUUGGAUUCGCUGAAGACUAACUUAUGCGAAAGCAUU